CAGCACCUCAAGUGGUCAGGAUGAUUAUUGGGCCUAAAGCAUCCGUAGCCGGCGCUGUAAGUUUUCGGUUAAAUCUGUACGCUCAACGUACGGGCUGCCGGGAAUACUGCAGCGCUAGGGAGUGGGAGAGGUAGACGGUACUCGGUAGGAAGGGGUAAAAUCCUUUGAUCUAUUGAUGACCACCUGUGGCGAAGGCGGUCUACCAGAACACGUCCGACGGUGAGGGAUGAAAGCUGGGGGAGCAAACCGGAUUAGAGACCCGAGUAGUCC
rnacentral:rRNA from 1 species